AUUGAACGCUGGCGGCAGGCCUAACACAUGCAAGUCGAGCGGUAACAGGAGAAAGCUUGCUUUCUUGCUGACGAGCGGCGGACGGGUGAGUAAUGUAUGGGGAUCUGCCCGAUAGAGGGGGAUAACUACUGGAAACGGUGGCUAAUACCGCAUAAUGUCUACGGACCAAAGCAGGGGCUCUUCGGACCUUGCACUAUCGGAUGAACCCAUAUGGGAUUAGCUAGUAGGUGGGGUAAAGGCUCACCUAGGCGACGAUCUCUAGCUGGUCUGAGAGGAUGAUCAGCCACACUGGGACUGAGACACGGCCCAGACUCCUACGGGAGGCAGCAGUGGGGAAUAUUGCACAAUGGGCGCAAGCCUGAUGCAGCCAUGCCGCGUGUAUGAAGAAGGCCUUAGGGUUGUAAAGUACUUUCAGCGGGGAGGAAGGUGAUAAGGUUAAUACCCUUGUCAAUUGA
rnacentral:rRNA from 1 species